rnacentral:rRNA from 1 species
GACAGAGGGUGCAAACGUUGUUCGGAAUCACUGGGCGUAAAGCGCACGUAGGCGGAUUGUUAAGUCAGGGGUGAAAUCCUGGAGCUCAACUCCAGAACUGCCUUUGAUACUGGCGAUCUCGAGUCCGGGAGAGGUGAGUGGAACUGCGAGUGUAGAGGUGAAAUUCGUAGAUAUUCGCAAGAACACCAGUGGCGAAGGCGGCUCACUGGCCCGGUACUGACGCUGAGACGCGAAAGCGUGGGGAGCGAACAGG